rnacentral:snRNA from 1 species
UCACUUUGUUUACCAGUUUG